AGUCUUAUAUUCAUUUAAAAUGAUUUAAAAUUGCAAAUUUUAAGGAGUACAUUAUAUACUAAGGCUU
rnacentral:tRNA from 1 species